UAGGGAAUCUUCGGCAAUGGACGGAAGUCUGACCGAGCAACGCCGCGUGAGUGAAGAAGGUUUUCGGAUCGUAAAGCUCUGUUGUAAGAGAAGAACGAGUGUGAGAGUGGAAAGUUCACACUGUGACGGUAUCUUACCAGAAAGGGACGGCUAACUACGUGCCAGCAGCCGCGGUAAUACGUAGGUCCCGAGCGUUGUCCGGAUUUAUUGGGCGUAAAGCGAGCGCAGGCGGUUAGAUAAGUCUGAAGUUAAAGGCUGUGGCUUAACCAUAGUAGGCUUUGGAAACUGUUUAACUUGAGUGCGAGAGGGGAGAGUGGAAUUCCAUGUGUAGCGGUGAAAUGCGUAGAUAUAUGGAGGAACACCGGUGGCGAAAGCGGCUCUCUGGCUUGUAACUGACGCUGAGGCUCGAAAGCGUGGGGAGCAAACAGGAUUAGAUACCCUGGUAGUCCACGCUGUAAACGAUGAGUGCUAGGUGUUAGACCCUUUCCGGGGUUUAGUGCCGUAGCUAACGCAUUAAGCACUCCGCCUGGGGAGUACGACCGCAAGGUUG
rnacentral:rRNA from 1 species